GGACGGUUAACUCAGUUGGUAGAGUGUCUGCUUUACACGCAGAAGGUCGCGGGUUCGAGUCCCUCACCGUCCA
rnacentral:tRNA from 1 species